GACGAACCGAGCGAACGUUGUUCGGAAUCACUGGGCUUAAAGGGCGCGUAGGCGGGUGCUCAAGUCUGUGGUGAAAUCCUCCGGCUCAACCGGGAGAACUGCCAUGGAUACUGGGUGUCUUGAGGGUGGUAGGGGUAUGCGGAACUAUCGGUGGAGCGGUGAAAUGCGUUGAUGUCGAAUAGGAACUCCGGUGGCGAAAGCGGUCUGCUGGACCUCUUCUGGACGCCUGAGGCGCGAAAGCCAGGGGAGCAAACGGGG
rnacentral:rRNA from 1 species